rnacentral:lncRNA from 1 species
AGUGGGCAGAAUGGCCAUCGGGUCAGAGGACGGAUGGUGGUGGGGGUGACUUCAUCCUCCCCAACACCAGGCGCACAUCCUGUGAAUCAGGCUGUCAUCCUGGAGGCUCUGCGGCGGGGGGCUGACCCUGGACAUCCCACCAUGGGCCAGCAUGAAUGACUGUGACUCCAGCCUUACCCCUCCUCUGCCAGAAACGCAGGCCAUGCUCCCAGGGCAGAUAGAAGGAACAGAUGAAAGCGAGAAGACCAAUUUCACUUCACACAGGCAGGAAGGAGAGUUCAAAAGGCACGGCCACCUGUCGCCUCCACAGAGGACAGAGACAUAAGGUCUCCUGCCCAACCUGAGCCCCGGGGGCUCUUCUGUCCAGCAGAGCAAACAUUUUCAUGGAAACAACCAUUUUCAUAGUCAUCAUGUAAAGACUACCUGUGUUUGCUGUGUUCUGUUUCAUAAGGGAGGGCCAGGUACAGUAGACUUCAGAAAAAAAUUCUGUGAA